CCAAUAGCGUAUAUUAAAGUUGUUGCAGUUAAAAAGCUCGUAGUUGAAUUUCGGGAUUGACACAUCGGUCGUGCCUUAAGGGGUAUGAACUGGUGUAGUCAAUUUCUCACCUUCUGGAGAACCGCGAUGUCCUUAAUUGGGUGCCGCGGGGAACCAGGACCUUUACUUUGAAAAAAUUAGAGUGUUUAAAGCAGGCAUUUUGCUUGAAUACAUUAGCAUGGAAUAAUAAAAUAGGACGGAUGAUUCUAUUUUGUUGGUUUCUAGGACCACCGUAAUGAUUAAUAGGGAUAGUUGGGGGCAUUAGUAUUCAAUUGUCAGAGGUGAAAUUCUUGGAUUUAUUGAAGACUAACUACUGCGAAAGCAUUUGCCAAGGAUGUUUUCAUUAAUCAAGAACGAAAGUUAGGGGAUCGAAGACGAUCAGAUACCGUCGUAGUCUUAACCAUAAACUAUGCCGACUAGGAAUCAGACGAUGUUAAUUUUUUAAUGACUCGUUUGGCACCUUAC
rnacentral:rRNA from 1 species